rnacentral:RNase_P_RNA from 2 species
AUACCUGGGUAACCGAGCGGAAACGUUAGGAAAGUCCAUGCUAGCACAGGCUGAGAUGCUUGUAGUGAUUGUGAUAGAGGAAACAAUAACUCUAUGCACGUAAGUGACGGCUGUGAACGCACCUGUUAAAUGGUGUUAUUAGCUUUAAAAGUGCCACAGAGACGAGCUUGAUAGGAAACUAUUAAGGUGGAACGGGUAAACCCCGCAAGCUAGAAACCCAAACUAUGGUAGGGGCACUUCAAUUCGGUAAAUGAACUGAUGAGGAGACGUAUUUAUACGUAGAUAAAUGGUUACCGCCUCGUAAGAGGUACAGAACAUGGCUUAUAAGG